GAGUUUGAUCCUGGCUCAGGACGAACGCUGGCGGCGUGCGUAAUACAUGCAAGUCGAGCGGACCUUCGGGUCAGCGGCGGACGGGUGAGGAACACGUGAGUCAUCUGUCGGUGGGUGGGGGAUAUCGGGCCGAAAGGCGCGGCAAUCCCGCAUACGUUCCUUCGGGAAGAAAGCUGGGCAACUGGCGCCCGCCGGGGAGCUCGCGGCCCAUUAGCUAGUUGGUAGGGUAACAGCCUCCCAAGGCGACGAUGGGUAGCCGGCCUGAGAGGGUGAACGGCCACACUGGGACUGAGACACGGCCCAGACUCCUACGGGAGGCAGCAGUAGGGAAUCUUCCACAAUGGGCGCAAGCCUGAUGGAGCAACGCCGCGUGAGUGAAGACGGCCUUCGGGUUGUAAAGCUCUGUCUGUCGGGACGAAGACCGGGACGGGAGUCCCGGGGAGCCGGUACCGACGAAGGAAGCCCCUGCAAACUACGUGCCAGCAGCCGCGGUAAGACGUAGGGGGCAAGCGUUGUCCGGAAUUACUGGGCGUAAAGGGCGUGUAGGCGGUGCGAUACGUAGCGGUUUUAAGCCUCCGGCUCACCCGGAGGAGGGCGGCUAAACGGUCGCACUG
rnacentral:rRNA from 1 species